ACAUGGACAGAGUUGGGUUAAGCAGCUGCAGAAACUCUGGUGAUGGUGAAUGGAAUAUUGGAGGAAAUGAUGAAAAAUAGAGAAGUCUGGAAACUGGUCAUUAGGAAAGUGACUCCUAAAGAGGCUAGUGGGCUUCAGUGAUUCAGUCUGGUGGAUAGAUAUGUGAAUUCACCCACAUUCUCUACUAUUUUCAAAAGAUCUCCAAGAAACAAGUUGUUCAUUUCAGUUUUCUGGGGAGACAGUGUGUUUGGCGUUUAUGUAACACACACUUUGGAAUAACUGCUUGGUGUUUGAGUUCCAGUUGACUCCAGAAGACAUAAAAGUCAUUGAUGGCCUUAACAAAAACCUUCGCUAUGUGACCUUAAAUCAAUGCCAGGAAUUUCCCAACUAUCCUUUUAAUGAUGAAUACUAAUGAAGUUUUGACUCAGAAGAUUUGUGGCCUGAGACAUUGAAGUUCUCUCAAAGGAAUAGCUUAUAUUCUGUUGGUUUUUAUGGAAAUUAAAUCCAGUAUUAUGGUUAAGCCAUGCACCAUGGCUAAGCCUACACCAAGGCACAGGUUAAAGGCAGUUGUUCUAUUCUAAGCUCUGCCUUUCCUGCCCUCAAUAAGACAGACAUAAUGGUACCCAUUUACGUAACAUUUCAAAGUAUACCAUGUAAUAGUGCAAGUAUUAUCCACUUUUUUCCAAGAGAGGUAUCCUUUUCUCAGAGAGGUUGUAUCAGGGUUAGCAUCUGGCUCAUAGUCUUCCUCUUUCCUCAGAUCUUACCAUUAUUUGUGGUACUUCAACAUAUAUAUUGAUAUCCCCUCCAGCAUCCUAACUACUCAAUUCCUUAAUCUCCUCAACUCUCAUGGACAACUUCUUCACUUCACCAUCUAUCUAGUAGUGUAGGAAUGGCAGUCCCCUUCAGUUCUCUACAAUUUCAUCCCAGCUACUUUCAUAUCCAGCAUGAAUGCAGUAAUUUCUGUAACUCUUCUGGAAUGAGAUUUGCCACUACCAAGGGGUACAGAAGAAAGCCAAUCAUAUUUGUACAUACAUACAUAUACAUAUUAAGAAAACAAUCACAUGCUGUGAUUACACACAAAUAAUGAAUAGAUGAUAGUUCACUCAAAACCCAAAAGAACACUAGCCCCUAUAAGCCUUGAGGAUGACAAAUAUUCAUAUCUGAGGUAACUCCUAAGGCAGAAAUAAAUCUUUGUAUCUGGGAUUUGUCUAUAGUAAAGAAGAUGUGACUUCAGUACAUAUUAUUCCAGGUGCACUCUAAUUAUUUUAAUA